rnacentral:tRNA from 1 species
AAGUCCGGGAGAUCUUAGAUCUCCUUUCCAAGUUUGCAACUUGGCGUGAAACACUGCCGAACU